AGAGUUUGAUCCUGGCUCAGAACGAACGCUGGCGGCAUGCCUAACACAUGCAAGUCGAACGAGAUCUUCGGGUCUAGUGGCGCACGGGUGCGUAACGCGUGGGAAUCUGCCCUUUGGUUCGGAAUAACAGUUGGAAACGACUGCUAAUACCGGAUGAUGACGAAAGUCCAAAGAUUUAUCGCCAGAGGAUGAGCCCGCGUAGGAUUAGCUAGUUGGUGUGGUAAAGGCGCACCAAGGCGACGAUCCUUAGCUGGUCUGAGAGGAUAAUCAGCCACACUGGGACUGAGACACGGCCCAGACUCCUACGGGAGGCAGCAGUGGGGAAUAUUGGACAAUGGGCGAAAGCCUGAUCCAGCAAUGCCGCGUGAGUGAUGAAGGCCUUAGGGUUGUAAAGCUCUUUUACCCGGGAUGAUAAUGACAGUACCGGGAGAAUAAGCUCCGGCUAACUCCGUGCCAGCAGCCGCGGUAAUACGGAGGGAGC
rnacentral:rRNA from 1 species